UCCGAUCACUGACUCUUCUUUUCCCUUUUUCCUCUGUCUUUUCCCAUGGCAACCAUGUGAAAAGCAUAUACUAUUCACUGAGGGCUAAUCAUUCUGGAGGAACAGGGCAUGAGCAGGACCCAAGGCUUCAGCAUGCUCUACCCGUGCAGCAGUUGGGUGAGUGCAGGCAUCUCUCCUGCCCCUCUCCGGUCUGUCUGUCUGUGCACUGGCAGCAUCAGCACCACCAGCAGGUCUGAGCUCACUGGUUAAGACUACUGCAAGCCACUUCUUUUGGGAAGGGGUCCAGAAGCAGCUUGUGACCCAUUCUGCUAGCCUCAUACCAUCUGAAGGUCAAAUCUUCAACAAAUGAGCUAGGAUUUUUUGACCAACACUAUUUUGGAGGAAGUGAAAUUUCAGCAAUUUUUAAGUAUUGUUCCAAUUAGCUCGUGCUAAAAUUAAGAUCUAUUACUAUUGUGUUGCACGGCUUGUAAAUGUAAACAUAGCCUUAGACUGAGCUUUGGCACUCUUCUACCUCAUUCAUCUCUACUGAAGAAACCUGAGGAGGAGGAAUGAAGAAACCUGAGGAGGAGGAAAGAAAGAAAGAAAGAAAAGAAAAUGAAAGAUGGCAGAAAAAUAUGGAAAUAAGAAACAAAUAACACUUAGUGGAACAAAUGCCGCUGACUGAGGAAGUUAAAGACAUGGUUAAGGACGUGGUUAUAUGACCACCUCAGAAGAACAGGGAGAAGAGAGAGAAAUAUAAAUACAAAGGGAAGUAGGAAGACAAUCUAUUUUGUCCUUCCAUGAAACUGAACUUAAACCCUGUAAAGAAUACAUCAUUAAAUAUUGCUGUUUUCAUUGCACUUCAGAGAAGAAGUGGCUGGAGCUGGCAAAAAAGGUUUCCUGUUGCAGCAUUUGCAGAUGUAAUUAGGAAACAGGAAACAUCCAGCUCUCAAGCAGUUUAAUUAAUGAGAAAACCCGACUGGAUUCUGAGAUGGGAAAUAGCCUCCUGGUGGACCUUAAAAGGAAUAGCUUUGAGUCAACUGCAAAUAUUGCAAAAACUGGCUGGAAAGUUAGUAUUGAGCUUUAAUGAAAACAUUAAAAGCAAACAAAACACUAGGCAUUUCAGUAAACUACUUAAACGAAGUAUGUCAGAUGAGCUCUGUUUAUCAGUAAUUAAAGUUUUAUGGCUCAUUUAACUUUGCUAACGUAGCUGAACAAAGGGACGUUAAUUUUUUCAAAAAAUUCUUAACUGCUAUUAGAGAAAAAUUUUCACUAUUCAGAAUGCAAAAAAACCCAGGGGACUCUAGAGAAGGAAAUCUGUAAGAGAUCUGGGAUGCAAGGGCAGUGAUGUGAGAGACACCUUUACAAGCAAUUGCCAAGGAAUCUAUGUGGUCAGGUAAGCAACAUGGGGUACUUCAGCUAAUAGCAUUAUAGAGCAUUUAUCUACUAGAUAACUUUACUCUGCUGUCUGCAAAUCACUUUUUUUUUGAAACAUGCCAUAAUGCUGUUAGUUCUAGGAGCCAGCAAAGUCAGUACCUAGACAACUGGAGUUAAUAUCUGAAGUUUAGCUCACGCUAAAGGAUCCAUUUUGUGUCCAGCUGGUAGGGCUCUGUGAUUUACAUGAGUUACUCCAAGUGUGGCCAGAGUGUUUGGUUACUUUGCCUGGCAGGAAGAGAACUUUAGGUAUUUACACUGUCUUCAUUUCCUUAAAGCAAUCUCAAACGCAUUGGUUUUCUUCCUGUGAAAAGAGAUUUGGGAUUCUGUUAAAAAUAUCAGAGUAGGCUAUCUAGUGAGAUGCCUUUUCACCUUUUCCACCCUGGCAUGCUUGGGUCUACCAUGUUUCUCUUACCUUUUCUGCCACACUUCCUCCCCAAAUUUAUAUACACAUCCUUGUGAGAUAGAACUGGAUGUGAUACUUGUGCCAUCAGAAAAAGAAAUUAAUCCUAUUUCUGAGCAGAUAACAAAACAAUAUGCUAGUGUGAAGGAAAAAGAAGUGAAGAUAGUUGAUAUAUCCAAAGGACAUUAUGUUAGCGAAGUGUAUACAACUAUAAACGCCUACUGGGUGACAGCAUAUCAUCUACAAAAUGACAAGUAUUAUCAGGACUGUUCUGUAAGCCUUAUUAUCUCCUUAAAAAGUAAACACAGGUGAUAUGCUGGAUACACCCAGUGUGGAUAUGUUUGUAAAUAUGGAAGGAAUGAAAAAAAUAAUCAGCAACAGUUAAGUUGGAAUAGCUGCUGUCAGCAUGGCAUCUUCAUAAGGCAAACUAAUGAUAUAGUUCAAUUUUUAAAAAGAUCACGUAGCAGAACACAAAAUAUAAUCCCAAUCGUCUAGUCUCUGAAAAGACUAAGAAUGAUGAUAUUAUUAAACAACAUCUGUCAGAGGCUUACCAAGUCUGCAUCCUUUUUAGUUACCCAUUAAAGCCCUAUAAAAUCAGUGAGAGUUCUAGGAAGAAAAAACAAUCUAAUCCUAUGCAAAUUAAAGCAGGGAAUGCCAGUAUGAUGGAAUUAUACUGUUUAAUGCAGCAGCUACUGGUAGAACAACAAAGAGCCACAGAUUUGGGUGGCAUAAUUCAGGUUUAGGUAAGACUUGGCCAACAAUUAUACUAUAGAACUGUUAUUAUGGGAGUUCCUCUGGACUACAACUGUUCCUCACUCACUGUCAGACUUUUGCUAAGUUAUUUAACAGCUGUGACCACACACACUAUGCACAUAGUAAAACUCAGUUUUUACCUCUGUUUCCUAGUCUUUAUCUACAGCUUCCAAUCCACAGCUCUAAUCAGAACUGGACCUGAAUCACCUAUGUUAUUUAGAUUAAGUGAGUACACAAUGUCUUCUGUCUGUCAAGAGGAACAGACUACAUCCCGACUUGCAGAAGCUUUUCAUCUAGACAAUGCUGUACAUGCCUAAAUCAUAAUUUUGUGUGAGAGCGGAUUUACACAGAUAAGAAGGUGAUUUUCUUGCUUCACCAAUAUUGGCCAAAAGGGAAGAAAUGAAGCACAUACUCUGGCUGUAAAAGCAUAGGCUGCUACCAAGCAAAUUAAAAGGCCUACUAGUUUAGGUUUCAAAAUGAAUUGCCCCGUAAAUAUUUCUGGAUGAGUGAGAAUUGACAAUAGUAAUAAAUUCUUUCUUUUGCCAAACAGAAACCUGAAGGAAAUCAUUUAUUCUUAACAUAAGUGUUCAGGGAAGAAAUUUUCUGAACUAUACUUUCUAUACUGCUAUACUUUCAGAAGUCCACUGUUUUUCAUCCCAUUAAGAAAUAAUUAUGAGUCAAUAAUAUUCUCUCUGCAUUUUGUAUUAGUUGAAAAUAAGAGAAUCUGGAGGCCAAUAAUUAAUGUGAAUUUUUGAUUUGCUUCAAGUGAAUUUGGAAAAUAUUAGAGGACAAAAAUUAAAAAAGAAACAUUUGCCAUUUGUUAAAUCACAAGCAAUGGAUUUGUUGGUU